rnacentral:rRNA from 1 species
GAUGAACGCUGGCGGCGUGCCUAAUACAUGCAAGUCGAGCGAACGGACGAUAAGCUUGCUUCUCUGAUGUUAGCGGCGGACGGGUGAGUAACACGUGGAUAACCUACCUAUAAGACUGGGAUAACUUCGUGAAACCGUAUCUAAUACCGGAUAAUAUUUUGAACCGCAUGGUUCAAAAGUGAAAGACGGUCUUGCUGUCAGUUAUAGCUGGAUCCGCGCUGCAUUAGCUAGUUGGUAAGGUAACGGCUUACCAAGGCAACGAUGCGUAGCCGACCUGAGAGGGUGAUCGGCCACACUGGAACUGAGACACGGUCCAGACUCCUACGGGAGGCAGCAGUAGGGAAUCUUCCGCAAUGGGCGAAAGCCUGACGGAGCAACGCCGCGUGAGUGAUGAAGGUCUUCGGAUCGUAAAGCUCUGUUAUUAGGGAAGAACAUAUGUGUAAGUAACUGUGCACAUCUUGACGGUACCUAAUCAGAAAGCCACGGCUAACUACGUG